rnacentral:rRNA from 3 species
GGGUUGUGAGGUUAAGCGACUAAGCGUACACGGUGGAUGCCCUGGCAGUCAGAGGCGAUGAAGGGCGUGCUAAUCUGCGAUAAGCGCCGGUAAGGUGAUAUGAACCGUUAUAACCGGCGAUACCCGAAUGGGGAAACCCAGUGUGACUCGUCACACUAUCAUUAACUGA